rnacentral:rRNA from 1 species
CUAGCGUUGCUCGGAAUUACUGGGCGUAAAGCGCAUGUAGGCGGCUCUUUAAGUCGGGGGUGAAAUCCUGGAGCUCAACUCCAGAACUGCCUUCGAUACUGAAGAGCUUGAGUCCGGGAGAGGUGAGUGGAACUGCGAGUGUAGAGGUGAAAUUCGUAGAUAUUCGCAAGAACACCAGUGGCGAAGGCGGCUCACUGGCCCGGUACUGACGCUGAGGUGCGAAAGCGUGGGAGCAAACAGG